UCUCUUCUUUGUAUCAAAAUACUGGUUCUUUUUUACAGUAAAGCUAAUCCUUUUGGACUUAAACGAAACAACCCACUUUCCAGAAUUGCUUUUAUGUCCUUCUUUUGUGCUUUCUAGCAGGUAUUCAUGGCUUCCCUCACUGCAAGUUAGCCUCAACCACUGUUUUUACAAGGUAGAAAGACCCUUGUCAGGACUCUUCGGAAACUCCCAGUUUCAUCUGCUUGAGAAUGCGAAAUUGUGCUGUUAUUGUGAACGCUACAGCGGUUUAUAUAUCGCUAUCUCUUGUUCAAACCUCAUCGGCAAGUAGAAUUCCUUGACUUUUGAGAUUGGUUGAUGCUGAAAUCCUUAGAUGUUACAUGAUACAUGAGAUAUGAUUUCCUACCUUGAAGAGAACACCAUAGGUGAUUUGUGAAACUUUAACUUAGUCUGGAACAAACAACCUAAUUCUGAACUGUUCCAAAUCAUGUAAAAGUCAAUAUCUGAAAUAUUUGGACAGUGGAUUCUGCUGCCAAAUCGUACUUAAAUGUAGUGGAGGCUCUCCAUUUUGUUUUACAUUUUAGCAUUCUAUAUUGAAAAAGAUAUUUUUCUA